rnacentral:rRNA from 1 species
AUGGUACUCUCCCCAAUAAUUCCCCAUCAGAGUAAGGUCACAGAACUGACGGAUGAUACCAAGAAUGAUUCCUUGAAUCUGGAGCAGAAGAAAAAAGCGUGGCCUAUGGAACGGCACAGAUCUGCUGAAGUGAGUCAAGCAAUCUUAUCUAAGAUAGGGCAUGGUGGUUUCCAACUUUGUCAUCAGCCCCAAAUCCCGGAGAUCGUUAAAGGUGGUUGUACACCAAUAUCUUCAUGUGAUCCUUCUGGAGAAUUCACUGCAGACAGCAAUGGAAUGCACAGGCACACAAUCACAGAUGCUGCUUGGGAAGCCCUAAAGCAAUCAAUAGUUUACUUCAAAGGUCAGCCAAUUGGGACUCUUGCUGCAAUAGACAAGUCUCAGGCAGAACUCAACUAUGACCAGGUUUUCAUGAGGGAUUUCGUUCCUAGUGCCUUGGCUUUCUUGAUGAAAGGGGAACCAACGAUAGUGAAGAAUUUCCUGGUAGAGACUGCUCGCCUUCAAUCAAGAGAGAAGAUGGUUGAUCUUUUUAAGCUUGGACAGGGUGUGAUGCCAGCAAGCUUCAAGGUGCACCACUCCAACCAUACGAAGAAGACUGAAACUCUGCUUGCUGAUUUUGGUGAAAUUGCUAUCGGGCGAGUUGCUCCUGUGGAUUCUGGCCUAUGGUGGAUUUUUCUUCUUCGUGCUUACACAAAAUAUACAAGGGACAGUUCUCUGGCUGAAAGUCCUCACUGCCAAAGGGCCAUGCGCCUUAUUCUCAAGCUGUGGCUCUCUGAAGGGUUUGAUACAUCUCCAGCAUUACUUUGCGCUGAUGGUUGCUCCAUGAUAGACCGUAGAAUGGGUAUAUAUGGCUAUCCGCUUGAAAUCCAGGCACUCUUCUUCAUGGCUCUGAGAUGCGCCUUGAGUUUGCUGAAAGACUCUAAUGACGACUUUGUGUACCAAAUAACAAAGAGGAUCAAAGCUUUGAGCUACCAUCUGCGCAGUUACUACUGGCUCGACUUCCAAAGACUCAACGAAAUCUAUCGCUACAAGACUGAAGAGUACUCGCAGACAGCUCUGAACAAGUUCAAUGUGAUCCCUGAAUCGAUCCCUGACUGGAUAUUUGACUUCAUGCCUAGCCGUGGUGGCUACUUCAUUGGAAAUGUCAGUCCUGCAAGGAUGGACUUCCGCUGGUUCUGCUUGGGCAACUUCAUUGCGAUCCUGUCAUGUUUGGCAACUGGAGAACAAGCUGAGGCAAUAUUGGAUCUCGUGGAGGAACGCUGGGGAGAGCUUAUUGGAGAGAUGCCCCUGAAGAUCUGUUACCCUGCAAUGGAAAACCAGGAAUGGCAGAUAGUCACUGGAUGCGACCCAAAGAACACCAGAUGGAGCUACCACAAUGGAGGGUCAUGGCCAGUGCUGCUGUGGCUCCUGGUGGCGGUGAGCGUGAAGCUGGGGCGGCCCCACAUCGCCCGCAACGCGGUGGAGCUGAUGGAGGCGCGUCUGGCCAAGGACGACUUCCCCGAGUACUACGACGGCAAGACGGGGCGGUACAUCGGGAAGCAGUCGCGCAAGUUCCAGACGUGGUCGGUGGCGGGCUACCUGGUGGCCAAGAUGCUCCUGGACGACCCCUCCAACCUCCGCGCCGUCUCCCUGGAGGACGACGGCCACAUCCGGGAGCCCGUCCUCAAGCGCAGCAACUCCUGCCCGGGCCUGCACAUGUCACACUGA